rnacentral:rRNA from 1 species
AACGCUGGCGGCGUGCCUAACACAUGCAAGUCGAACGGGGUAUUGAGAGCUUGCUCUUAAUACUUAGUGGCGAACGGGUGAGUAACGCGUGAGAAACCUGCCUCUCAGUGGGGGACAACAGUUGGAAACGACUGCUAAUACCGCAUAACAUAUCCGGAGGGCAUCCUCUGGAUAUCAAAGCUUUAUGUGCUGUAAGAUGGUCCCGCGUCUGAUUAGCUAGUUGGUGAGGUAACGGCCCACCAAGGCGACGAUCAGUAGCCGACCUGAGAGGGUGACCGGCCACAUUGGGACUGAGACACGGCCCAGACUCCUACGGGAGGCAGCAGUAGGGAAUAUUGGGCAAUGGGGGAAACCCUGACCCAGCAACGCCGCGUGAAGGAAGAAGGCCUUCGGGUUGUAAACUUCUUUUACCAGGGACGAACACAAUGACGGUACCUGGAGAAAAAGCAACGGCUAACUACGUG